AGCCGCGGUAAUACCCGCAGCCCGAGUGGUGGUCGAUAUUAUUGAGUCUAAAACGUUCGUAGCCUGUUCAGUAAAUCUUUGGGUAAAUCGGUGAGCUUAACUUACCGAAUUCCGAGGAGACUGCUGAACUUGGGACCGGGAGAGGCUAGAGGUACUUCUGGGGUAGGGGUAAAAUCCUGUAAUCCUAGAAGGACCACCGGUGGCGAAGGCGUCUAGCUAGAACGGAUCCGACGGUGAGGGACGAAGCCCUGGGGCGCAAACGGGAUUAGAUACCCCGGUAGUCCAGGGUGUAAACGUUGCAGGCUUGGUGUUGGAGGCCCUCCGAGGGCGUUCAGUGCCGGAGAGAAGUUGUUAAGCCUGUUACUUGGGGAGUACGUCCGCAAGGAUGAAACUUAAAGGAAUUGGCGGGGGAGCACCGCAACGGGAGGAGCGUGCGGUUUAAUUGGAUUCAACACCGGAAAACUCACCAGGAGCGACGGUUACAUGAAAGUCAGGCUGAUGCCCUUACUCGAUUUUCCGAGAGGUGGUGCAUGGCC
rnacentral:rRNA from 1 species